CCACUCAAUGGGUAUUAAUAAUCGUUAUAUUGGGAAGAUUGCAAUGCUAGCCAAGUCAAGGGAAGAUCUGUACCACUUACAUAGGAUCUGUGUUACUGAGAUGAUACUAAGAAGAGAUUCAGGAAGCUUUUAUUAACGACUCCAUUGAACCGUGUGUCAGCCAAUGUGGCUUAUUUUCUCAACUGUUUACUAACUGAUACUGAAGAGAUUGUUUCUGAUGAAGUUGCUGCUA